CCAUUCAGUCUUAUAAGGAGAAAACUCUAACAAGAGAAAGGUUGUGCCCAGAACCUUGAACAAAAAGAAUUUCUUACCUGAAAACCUUGCCCAUCUUCUGCCUCACUCACCAAAUGAACUCUGAAGUUGUCUCAUCACCUUCCUCUUCUCCUCCAACACCACCAUCUCCUCUCCCUGUCAGUGUUGGACCAGGCAAUCGCAAGUAUCCAUUCUCUCCUUCGCCUUCGCCAUCGCCGCCUUUCUCACCGCCCGAUCGCUCAUCACCGGAGACCUCACCUCUUUUGCGCAGCCAAUCACCAGAGCAGCACAAACAACCUUCCGCUUUUUCUUUAGACAAACUCCUUGAAGACUCUGGUCCUUCAAGAAGAUGGUGCCAUCUUAGAAAUUUUUUGGAAUGGCUGAUGCUGAGAUGUUGCUGCUGCUGCUGCUCCUCAUUGUUCUAGGCAGUAAAUUCUUCAACUCCACAGCUGAAGCAAAUGAAAUCUAGAAAGAUUUGGCGGCAAGCUGACCUGCAAUUGUUCAGAGAAUCAAGAAUCUAUUGUUUCUUAAACAAAACAAAAGGGAAGGUUCAUGUUUGAUCUUGCUGUUAUAGAUGCUAAUCUACCAGAAUUUUUUCUCUCCAGUUAAGGCGAAUCUAUUAUGUCGUAGUAUUUGACAUUAACAAACUCUGUUUUUAAGACUAGAAUGUCAUUUACACUCGAGUAUAUUGUCCUAUUCACUACACAUUUUCCUUUUCUAAUUUCAUUGUUCCCAGCUUCAAUCAAUCAAUCAAACACCUCAGCUUUAGGCCCCUUGUUUGAAAUUGAACAUCCACUAUAACUUCAUAAACAUGAAAUGGCACUAAUAGGAAUAAUGUGUUGGUUAUAUACACACAAAAGACUGAUGUUUUCACUGAGCACCAGCCCAAGAUCAUGCAGGCCAAAAAAUAGCCGGGGCAAGUUCGUUGGUCACUAAUGCAUAUAACUCUGCAAGGCCAGCACUGCUAAAAAGACAGGACAAGAAGGAUGGUAAAUUGGGGCCGGCGAUUUCAAAACAAUCUGAAGCCAAGAACCAAACUUUCAAUAGCCUUCUAGCUUGCAAUGAGGCAUUCUGUAUCCAGGAACAAUGGAGAUGGCCUCAAAGGAAGGAAAAUAGUCAUUUCAUCAUUUCAUUAUUCCUGCCAUGUUCUGGUAAUACCCAGUGAGGGUUCUCAUGCCAUGUCCAGGGCUAAAUUGCACCUCCAAAUAAACCACUCCUCUCUGUCCCGUCCGGUACCACAAUUAGUCAGAGUAUGGCAUACCGGUCUCCAGCACUCUUUUUUAUAUUUUUUAUAUUUUUUUAUUUUUUAAUCUAUUUUUGUUUUCAGUGAUAAUUUUAACCACUAUAAUUGUUUAAUUUA